UCUGAUUAGGCAGUGUAUCCCCAGCAAGUCAUCUUUUAUACCGGUUGUCGGUAAUGUUUGUUGCUCCCUUGAUUGGUCAUCAUUAUAUACCUAGUUUCGGUAUCCCGAUGCCCUUCUCUCUCGGUCGAUCUAUCCUUUAUUAACCCAGUAAUCGGUUGUGGAUAAUCUUCCAUGCGAGUAUAUUAUCUACGUUCUGACGGCAAUAGAUAAUAUAUCUCAUGCACUCUUUGGUCGAAGCCUUUUGUUCUUCCCCAGUUGAGUAAGAUUCGUACCCCUGUUUUGG
rnacentral:lncRNA from 1 species